rnacentral:rRNA from 1 species
GACGAACGCUGGCGGUGUGCUUAACACAUGCAAGUCGAACGAAGAGCGAUUGAAGCUUGCUUCUAUCAAUCUUAGUGUCGCACUGGUGAGUAGCGCGUAAUCAACCUGCCCUUCAGAGGGGGACAACAGUUGGAAACGACAGCUAAUACCGCAUACGAUCUAAUCUCGGCAUCGAGGAUAGAUGAAAGGUGGCCUCUACAUGUAAGCUAUCACUGGAAGAGGGGAUUUAGCCUGGUUAGCUAGCUGGAGGGGUACCUGCCCACCAAGGCGAAGAUCAGUAGCCGGUCUGAGAGGGUGAACGGCCACAUUGGGACUGAGACACGGCCCAGACUCCCUCGGGAGGGAGCAGUGGGGAAUCUUCCGCAAUGGACGAAAGUCUGACGGCGCAACGACGCGUGAGGGAUGACGGCCCUCGGGUUGUAAAGCUCUGUUAAUCGGGACGAAAGGCCUUCUUGCGAAUAGUGCGAAGGAUUGACGGUACCGGAAUAGAAAGCCACGGCUAACUACGUG